GAGCCCCCUCCCCUCAGCCUUCACUCCUCUGGGAGGCGGAGGGCGGGACUAACGUGCCGGCGGCGACUCCGCCCCCCAGCCUCUCGGGGGCGUGGCCAGCGGGAAGAUGUGGGGGCGUGAAGGAGGUGGGGCUUGAGGAGGAGUAUGAGGUCGUGUGAGGGGCGGGAUUUAAGCAUACGCCGCGGGCCGCCGUGCGUCUUGACGUCACGACGACCUUAUAUACUCGACUCAGCCGCCAUCUCAGUCUUUCGGAGCUGCACGGCUGAGCUGAGCAGGAAUGGCACCGUGCACCUCUGAUGGGACUUCUGGGGGAAUCUCACAGCCAGUUCUGUGGCAAAGACGGAUGAAAACAAAGAGGACUCACGAGGAAGCUGGAUAGCUGGACAAGAGCAAUGUGCUGGAAUGGAAAGCCAGAAAAUGAAAUGGUGGAGUUUGAGACUGGAUAGACAGUUUUAAAAGUACAAAUGAUGUGAUUUGAAUAAAGGUAUCACACAUUGGUCCCCUUAACUGUGAAGGCACUGCAAGCUUAACACAUUGACAAGUCCUUCAUUCUGAAUUUCAAGGGCUCCUGUGACAAGUGGACAUGAAGUGCACCUGUUUUCAGAGGUGCUUGGAUGGAGACUCAAAUAGAAGAUUGAUCACAUGUAUAUAUACACAUAUAUAGAGUUUUACCAUUAAAGUGCAUUAUAACAUCUGAA